rnacentral:rRNA from 1 species
AACCUGGUUGAUCCUGCCAGUAGCCAUACGCUCGUCUCAAAGAUUAAGCCAUGCAUGUCUAAGUAUAAACAAUUUUAUACGGUGAAACUGCGAAUGGCUCAUUAUAUCAGUUAUAAUCUAUUCGAUAGUACCUUACUACUCGGAUAACCGUAGUAAUUCUAGAGCUAAUACAUGCCUAAAGACCCAACUGCUUGUCGGACGGGUUGCAUUUAUUAGAUUGAAACCAAUACUCUUCGGAGUUUUUGAGUUGAGUCAUAAUAACUGUGCGGAUCGCGUUUUUCGCGAUA